rnacentral:lncRNA from 1 species
CUUCCGGGUCACUGCCAUGGAGGAGCCGCAGUCAGAUCCUAGCGUCGAGCCCCCUCUGAGUCAGGAAACAUUUUCAGACCUAUGGAAACACUUCCUGAAAACAACGUUCUUACUCCCCUGCCCUCAACAAGAUGUUUUGCCAACUGGCCAAGACCUGCCCUGUGCAGCUGUGGGUUGAUUCCACACCCCCGCCCGGCACCCGCGUCCGCGCCAUGGCCAUCUACAAGCAGUCACAGCACAUGACGGAGGUUGUGAGGCGCUGCCCCCACCAUGAGCGCUGCUCAGAUAGCGAUGUCUGGCCCCUCCUCAGCAUCUUAUCCGAGUGGAAGGAAAUU